CCCCCCGCGUCCCCCCCAACGCUGCGGUCAGGGGGCACCCGACGGGAUGAGCUCCGCCGGGGGGACCCCCCGCCCCCAAGAGUGAGAGCCCCCCACCUGCAGGCGGGAUCCUUCCCCAGGAACUGGAACCGAACCCCCGCUAACGCGACCCGUCCUCCGGGAACGGGACAGCCGUGACCACCGGACGGGACCCCCCCCCCCCCCCCAGCACAUGCGGGACCCCACCACCCAGACACGGGACCCUCACGUUUCAGAGGAGCGAUGCUUCAGGGAUGCCAGGCUCACCCCCAGCUCCGCUCGUUGCCUCGUGCCGCCGUGCAGCCGUGGCCUCGCAGCGGGGAAGAGGCAGAGCAGCUCCUAAUGAGGCUCUGGGAGCACUCUGAGCCUCUUGGCUCGUGAGCAGAGAGCCGCAGGUGGGAGCCCCAGCCCUGUGGACCGUGGCAGCAUAGGCACUAAAACGCAGCCAAGCUUCCAGAAGCUUCUCUCAAAGAAUGCUGCUGCUUAUCUCUGUGUGUUCCUGAUGGCGGCACCCUGGGAGCAUCAGAGCGCUUCUGCAAGGCUCGCCCAAAAUCUCUCACCCAAAAUCUGCAGAGAUGCCCUGCAAGAUUUGCACCAGGCCAAGAAGAGCCAUGUUGGCCAUAGAACAUACAGUCUGCGGAUGGAAAACAAAAGGAAGAGUUGAAAACCUGCUGUGACAAUGCUGGAAUGUCCCCAGAUGUGAAGCACUGCGCUCCUCCUGCGAGGCCACAGCUCUGCGUCCGCACUGGGGACACGUGGCCUAAUCCUGCUGCCUCUGCAAUGGGCAGCGACCAUCCUGCUGCACCCAGCUCUGCUCCAGGCAGCGUUCCUCCCUUGCUCUCCCUGCUCCUUCCCCACGUGCCCUGACCCCCAGGUUUUGCUUUUCAGGGGCUUUGGGUUUUUUUCUCCUUUGUGUCAGAGCUGCCCAGGAACCACACGGUUGCUGUAGGGACCUGCUGGUGCUGCUCAGCCCUCCUUUCCUGUACUGUUUGCACAAGAAAGGAACGGACAGAGUGGAGCAUCUGCAUGGUUUUGAUUUGGUUUGAGUUUGUUUUCUUUCUGUUGGUGGGAAGCAGAGGACAAACACUGCAGAUCCAACAUUUUCUCCUCGUUCUGAUGCCCGACAUUUUGGCUGCGGUGCCAUGUGCCCUGCAGGUCCAAGGCUCCUGGUUGCAGCCCAGUGGGGGAACCCCGCUCUGAACUGGGAAGCUGUGGCACUGCUGAAGGCGUACAAAACAGGGAGAACCUCCCCAGGGUGCAGCUCUGCGAGAUCCCAAAUGCUCAGGGCUUGUACUGUGGAUGCUGUCCACCACGCUUUCUCUUCUUGCAAUUAUUCAGUUUUGGGGAUGGUGGGGGGAAAAUUUGCAUUUCUUUGUCUGUUUUUUGCAAUAUAUAUAUGCAUAUAUAUAUGUAUGUAUAUGUAUUUUAAGUGUCUUUGCUUGUUAUAAAUGUCUCUGCGGUGAGCAGACAGGACCGAGGGCUGUGAGCUCAAUGCAAGGUGUCACUGGAGAAGU